rnacentral:rRNA from 1 species
UAUUGGGCAAUGGGCGCAAGCCUGACCCAGCAACGCCGCGUGAAGGAAGAAGGCUUUCGUGUUGUAAACUUCUCUUCUCAGGGACGAAGCAAGUGACGGUACCUGAGGAAUAAGCCACGGCUAACUACGUGCCAGCAGCCGGGGUAAUACGUAGGUGGCAAGCGUUGUCCGGAUUUACUGGGUGUAAAGGGCGUGUAGGCGGGGACGCGAGUCAGAUGUGAAAUCCACGGGCUCAACCUGUGGCCUGCAUUUGAAACUGUGUUUCUUGAGUACUGGAGAGGCAGACGGAAUUCCUAGUGUAGCGGUGAAAUGCGUAGAUAUUAGGAGGAACACCAGUGGCGAAGGCGGUCUGCUGGACAGCAACUGACGCUGAGGCGCGAAAGCGUGGGGAGCAAACAG